CGCGUCUGCACUUCCAGCAGCAGCAGCUAAAGACAAAGUUCCUGCUAGCAGUUGUCCUCGAAAAGAAGAUUCGGCCAGAAUAUCUGCCGUAAUCCAGAGUAGAAAUUUCAAGUCUUACGCUCUAAGCAGACAGCGAGAAAAUCGAGCAAUGGCGCCACGUCCACAGAGCCCAGAAAUAAAGCCAGAGGAAGACGCAUGCGCCCGGGUGGACGAGACCCCAGGGACAGAACCCAGUAAGCCGUACGUGAGGCAGAUCUACUGGACCAACGUGGUGGGCAUCGCCGCACUGCAUCUGGCCGCCCUCUGGGGGAGUCUGUGGACGCCAUUCUAUGCCAAGGUGCUCACCGUCU